rnacentral:lncRNA from 1 species
GGGAGGUCGGUCCCCGUGUUGCUCCUCCCUUCUUGGUGGUUCAGGUUGCGGAAGGGCCCUUGGCCGAUCUCCUCUACCCUCAGGCCUGCGUCGGAUGAACCUGUCGAGUCGACCUCGUCGGAUGAGCUCCUCGAUCUCAUCCCGGAGCUUGAUGCAUUCCUCCGUGUCAUGGCCGUGGUCGCGGUGGUAGAGACAGAACUUGUUGGGG